rnacentral:pre_miRNA from 1 species
CGGGUCAGCUGGUGUUGUGAAUCAGGCCGCCGUAGUGAGAGGGAACGGCUUCUUCAUAACACCAGGGUCACA